rnacentral:rRNA from 1 species
UACGUAGGGGGCGAGCGUUGUCCGGAUUUAUUGGGCGUAAAGAGCUCGUAGGCGGUUGCGGAAGUCGGAUGUGAAAUACCGGGGCUCAACUCCGGGGCGCCAUUCGAUACUCCGCUGACUCGAGUCCGGUAGGGGAAGGUGGAAUUCCUGGUGUAGCGGUGAAAUGCACAGAUAUCAGGAGGAACACCGGUGGCGAAGGCGGCCUUCUGGGCCGGUACUGACGCUGAGGAGCGGAAGCUAGGGGAGCGAACAGG